CUGCUUUCCUAAACAGUCACGUUGCACGGGCAAAAGCCAACCCUCUUUAUCUAGUUGAUGUCAGUGUUACUCAAAGUCUCAGUGUUUCUGAGAGGAGAUGUUCUAGGAGGCCUGGAGCACGGACGCAAAGAUGGCCCCCUAGAAGAUGGUCUUCACGUUUGGCAGGAAAGGCAAAUUUAAAGCUCUCUUGAUCCAUAAACGAGUCUCUAAAAACAAGUGAGGCUUUGGAAUAACAGCCACCAGAUUUGGGGAGUCAACGGGCAUCCGGCAUCUUGAAUCAGUGUCUUUCUGAGGGAAAAGGAAAAUAACGCACCUACCGUAUCUUGAAAUGAAAGCAGAACAUCGUUUGCUGCAAAGCUAUAGCUUAAUGUUUUCAGUGCAACAUGGAUCCCUUUUCUCAACCUUCAUUCAGGAUGUCCUGACUACAACUCCCUCUUCAAAGCUAAAUGGCAAUGACAGCAGAGUCCAAAUGGAUGAUUAAUGCCUAAACCCUAAAACUUGCCUUGGAUCAUAGACUGUUUCAGUGGAGGAGGAGACCGGGGGUGACACUAAGCGACAACUGAAAAAAUUUUAAGCUGCUGGCAACAAAUUGGGGCUCCCAUGACCAGGCUUGCUCCCUGACAUCCCGUCCCGCUUAGUGCCUGGGAGACUUUGUCAUGGACAGCAGACAUGUCCCCUCAGACUCCAAGUUCACUUUCCUGUGUUGCUAAGCCUUCAUCUUAAGUGUGGCGGUCACUUUCCACAUAAAACUGAACAAGUGUCGUGGGCCGAAUCAUUUCUUUUAUAAAGGUAGCUCAUUAUUAACAGACCACCGUCACAAGUCUCUCGAGAAAUUAUGCCAUAUUUAAGACAGAGCUUUCUAUCAAAUUCGGAACGUGCGCGCUAAUGUUUUCAGUACAGUGAAGCACAUAUCAAUGCUCACGGCCAGGUUCCUCCAGGAAGCCGACUGGCAGGUGGAGAUGCGUGUGUAGGACGUUUACGCAGGAACGCGCCCAGCAUCUCCCUUGAGGGAGGAAGAGGAAGAGAACGAAUCAGGGCCGGGGACACCGCCAAGUUGGGCUGCGGUGAAGUCUGUUUAACAACAGCUCCAGUGGGCACCACAGAGAGCUCUGAACUUGGGACGGCCUCUCAGAGCUGCCCCAUUUGUGUCAAAGUCUAGGCCAGUUAGUCACUGGAUGUGGGCCACCCUGGGAAGGGUGUAUAACCUUGGGUGGGGCGCUUGUUUUUCAACUGAGGCAAUGUCCAAGGAGGCCAGUCGCUGAGAGCUGUCUGCGGGCAGCCCUCCCACAGCUGGGGGACUAAGGUCACCACCUACACAGGUAAUGGGUGGUCCAUCGGGAUGCCUUUUUGCAAGAACAUCCAUCAUGAGUCUGAAAGGGUGAAUUCACAUAAACUAUGGUGAGGUGGUCUCCCUGGUCUAAACAGAAGACUCAGUGCCUCAGGGCUGGUGGAUGGCUCCCGGGCCAGCUGUCAGACAAAGAAGAGCAGAGAAGGAAGUUUAUGCCAAACCCUCCUCUUCCCCUACCCUCCCGGGCCAAGUCUCCUCCUUUGUUCCCACCUCACCGGAAGGCAACUCAGAUGACCCCUGCCCCCACCCCAGGGCAGGGGAAGGGGGGCUUUCUAGCUGGGACAGAGGAAGACCAGACAUCAUGCCUGCAUUUACCCCUCUUCCGGUCUAACACCUGUCUUAAAGCUUCAGCCAAACACAUUCUUUGCCUUUUUUCAUGCUUUAGUCCUACGUACUGUCCUUUUGUGAUAACCUGAAAAUGUGGCCCAAGCUGAGGAAGGGACAACUUUUCUGGAACGAUGAUUUUCUUUGCUCCUCUUUUCCCUCCCUCCUCCGUCCAGUUAACCCCGAGCUCAGCACCCUUUGAAUGGGAUACAGCUGUGACGUUUCCCCUCCACGCUCAGCAGGAACCCCUGCGUGAACUUUCUGGCGCCAUUUUGGAGGAGGGAUAUCAAACGUAAUCACCACCUUCUGACAUUCUGGAACGAUUUGUGCCAAACCCACAGAAGUGAGUGGGAAAAUAAGACAAAAUCAUCUGAAACCCAUUGAGGAAUCGGUCUUUCAUGUUAGGAAAGGAGAAUGUAUUCAGAUUUCUCUUCAAAGUUUUCUUUUGGAGUUGAGCUUUCUUUGUACAGGGGCACAUUAGAACAUAUUAUAGGUUCUGUGACUUGGUUAUAUUUACAGAGGAAUUUUUUAUUCUAUUUAGUAUUUGAAAUUUUCGGUUUUGAGUACAAAAUAAUAUAUCACUGACUAUUGUCUGGCUAGAAUCAAAUAGGAAUGUCUCUGUGUAGACAAUGCAGAGAUAGUUGGUAUAAGUGUGUAAGGAAGAGAUGAGUGUGAAUUCACCUUCUUCAUAACUUGUUAGAUAGGAAAUUUAGAGGAGCUGAUAAACCUUUGACGAAAUGAAACCUAGCUUGUUGAAAUAAGUUUUUUUUUUAAUUUAAAAAUAAUUCUUCAAUAAUGAGACAGCAGAAAGUUAUGAAGAGCAGGUCCCACAUGAGAUGAA